rnacentral:rRNA from 1 species
CAGGCCUAACACAUGCAAGUCGAACGGGCACCUUCGGGUGUCAGUGGCAGACGGGUGAGUAACACGUGGGAACGUACCCUUCGGUUCGGAAUAACUCAGGGAAACUUGAGCUAAUACCGGAUACGCCCUUACGGGGAAAGGUUUACUGCCGAAGGAUCGGCCCGCGUCUGAUUAGCUAGUUGGUGAGGUAACGGCUCACCAAGGCGACGAUCAGUAGCUGGUCUGAGAGGAUGAUCAGCCACACUGGGACUGAGACACGGCCCAGACUCCUACGGGAGGCAGCAGUGGGGAAUAUUGGACAAUGGGCGAAAGCCUGAUCCAGCCAUGCCGCGUGAGUGAUGAAGGCCUUAGGGUUGUAAAGCUCUUUCGACGGGGACGAUAAUGACGGUACCCGUAGAAGAAGCCCCGGCUAACUUCGUGCCAGCAGCCGCGGUAAU